rnacentral:misc_RNA from 1 species
UCUCCGUAGGUGAACCUGCGGAGGGAUCAUUACAGAGUUCUCGACCUCGCGGGUAGAUGUCUCACCCACUGUUAUCGUUACUGUGUUGCUUUGGCGGGCCGCCGGGCCCCGCUCGGCCGCCGGCCCCGGCUGGCGCGCGCCCGCCAGAGGCCCAGCAAACUCUGAAUUUUAGUGUCGUCUGAGUACUAUAUAUUAGUUAAAACUUUCAACAACGGAUCUCUUGGUUCUG